UACGUAGGGUGCAAGCGUUGUCCGGAAUUAUUGGGCGUAAAGAGCUCGUAGGCGGUCUGUCGCGUCUGCUGUGAAAACUCGGGGAUUAACCCCGGGCCUGCAGUGGGUACGGGCAGACUAGAGUGCGGUAGGGGAGACUGGAAUUCCUGGUGUAGCGGUGAAAUGCGCAGAUAUCGGGAAGAACACCCGUGGCUAAGGCGGCUACUCUAGUACGGUACUGACGCUGAGACGCGAAAGCGUGGGGAAGCGAACGGGG
rnacentral:rRNA from 1 species